CAAAUGUCAUGUAAAGGCGGAUUUCUUGCCCUUUUUUAAAUAAGCUAAUUUUAGAGAGUAAUCAUCAUAUUGGUGUGCAUGUAAACAGGCUCACUGUGUCUUUUUAAAGGCAUACCAUCAAUCAGGAUAACUGAUUUCCUUUGGAUGUUAGAAUAUUUAAUGUAAAUUGCAGUUAAAGAUAAACUCAAGAACAUCAACAUUUAAAUUUGAGAUGUUGCACCAUAAUUUGUCAUUUGAUUAAUGCAGUUCUGGAUACAACUGACUGUAAAAAUCAGUAACAUUCAAACUACAUGGAUUAUUUGAAUUACACACAAUUUUUCUAUUUAAAUAAUGGGACUUAUUCAUCCAAAUGCAAUUAUACUUUAUAUAUUUUCUUAUUAACUUGCUAAAUAAUUGACAGUGGAAACAGCUACUGUUUUUCAUUCUUAAAUAUCCUGCUUCAAUCUGAAGGUUCAAAAGUCAACACUGAAUUAAACUGGUAAUAAAUGCAAAAUAGAAGCACACUGACAUUUUUGUUUUGUUUUUGUGGUGAAGUCACAUACGUAGCUAAAAAGAUUAAGCACUUUUGAGGUAAUUUGUGUCUUGCUUGCUAUCUUAUUUUAUACUAUGCUCCUAUUUUUCCCCCCUAAUUGUUUUAAUUGUACUUGUACAACACUUUGGUAUACACUUGUUGUUUUUAAAUGUGCUUAAGAAAUUAAUUAACCUUGACUUUUUACAGUGAACAAGUUAAAGUGUGAACGAAGUAAAUUUUACAUUUGUACUCAAACAUGUAAAAAUUCAAGCUUACAAGUACAUAUUAUUCAUGAUUGUGUUAUCUUUACAAUGAGUCAUCAUGUAUCAAUCGAAAACUUUGUUUAUAUUAUAUUUCUUUGCUAAUUUGAGUAAAUUUCACAGGUAAAUAAAAUAACUUUUCAAAGCUGGUGUUUCCAGCAUGCACUGGACUUGAAUAAUUAAUUAGCUUGCAUGGUUUCACUGUUUGAAAGUUUAUAUAUUACACCGUUUUUAUUGUUGAUUUAUUUGUAUUUUUUUAUGUUUGGUAACUUCUUGUUUUGUAAAGUCUGGAUUUCAAUUUCUUCACAAAAAGUUUUGAUUGUUACCGUCAUCCUGUUUCUGUCGCUACAUACUGUAGAAACAUAGCCCUACACUA